GGAGCUAGCAUCCACACAAAAUAUGACCUUACCAGUGGGUAUAAAGUUGGCAUAUGAAUUAAAAACUCUAUCGAUUAAGAAACAUGGUCCUGUCAGGGUAUAAUAGUGACCUUGGCAUGAACGUCUGUGAGCAAUUUUUUUAAAACAUGACACGAAUAUAUGAUAGAAAUAAUUUAUGAUUUAUAAUUAUGAAAUAUACAUGAUUUAUGCAUGCAUGA
rnacentral:lncRNA from 1 species